AUUGAACGCUGGCGGCAGGCCUAACACAUGCAAGUCGAGCGGAUGAGAAGAGCUUGCUCUUCGAUUCAGCGGCGGACGGGUGAGUAAUGCCUAGGAAUCUGCCUGGUAGUGGGGGACAACGUUUCGAAAGGAACGCUAAUACCGCCUACGUCCUACGGGAGCAAGCAGGGGACCUUCGGGCCUUGCGCUAUCAGAUGAGCCUAGGUCGGAUUAGCCAGUUGGUGAGGUAAUGGCUCACCAAGGCGACGAUCCGUAACUGGUAUGAGAGGAUGAUCAGUCACACUGGAACUGAGACACGGUCCAGACUCCUACGGGAGGCAGCAGUGGGGAAUAUUGGAAAAUGGGCGAAAGCCUGAUCCAGCCAUGCCGCGUGUGUGAAGAAGGUCUUCGGAUUGUAAAGCACUUUAAGUUGGGAGGAAGGGCAGUAAGUUAAUACCUUGCUGUUUUGACGUUACCGACAGAAUAAGCACCGGCUAACUCUGUGCCAGCAGCCGCCGUAACAC
rnacentral:rRNA from 1 species